rnacentral:rRNA from 1 species
GAUGAACGCUAGCGACAGGCCUAACACAUGCAAGUCGAGGGGCAGCACAAAGUAGCAAUACUUGGUGGCGACCGGCGCACGGGUGAGUAACACGUAUGCAACCUACCUGUAAGAGGGGAAUAACCCGGAGAAAUUCGGACUAAUACCGCAUAAUACCGCUGAACUGCAUGGUUUAGUGGUUAAACAUUUAUGGCUUACAGAUGGGCAUGCGUAUGAUUAGCUAGUUGGUGAGGUAACGGCUCACCAAGGCAACGAUCAUUAGGGGUUCUGAGAGGAAGGUCCCCCACACUGGUACUGAGACACGGACCAGACUCCUACGGGAGGCAGCAGUGAGGAAUAUUGGUCAAUGGGCGAGAGCCUGAACCAGCCAAGUCGCGUGAAGGAAGAAGGUUCUAUGGAUUGUAAACUUCUUUUGUAAGGGAAUAAAAAAGAGUACGUGUACUCUAUUGUAUGUACUUUACGAAUAAGGAUCGGCUAACUCCGUGCCAGCAGCCGCGGUAAUACGGAGGAUCCAAGCGUUAUCCGGAUUUAUUGGGUUUAAAGGGUGCGUAGGCGGACCUUUAAGUCAGUGGUGAAAGUUUGCGGCUCAACCGUAAAAUUGCCAUUGAAACUGCAGGUCUUGAGUGUAAAUAAGGUAGGCGGAAUGUGUUGUGUAGCGGUGAAAUGCUUAGAUAUAAUACAGAACACCAAUUGCGAAGGCAGCUUACUGGGAUACAACUGACGCUGAGGCACGAAAGCGUGGGGAUCAAACAGGAUUAGAUACCCUGGUAGUCCACGCAGUAAACGAUGAAUACUAGCUGUAUGCGAUAUACUGUAUGUGGCAAAGCGAAAGCGUUAAGUAUUCCACCUGGGGAGUACGUCCGCAAGAAUG